GGUGCUGAGGUGUAGUGGUUAUCACGUUAGUCUUAUACACAAAAGGUCCCAGUUCGAGCGUGGGCAGCAUCA
rnacentral:tRNA from 1 species